ACUCCGGUGGUAUCAGAUGGACCCGCGUCUGAUUAGCUAGUUGGUGGGGUAACGGCCCACCAAGGCGACGAUCAGUAGCCGACCUGAGAGGGUGACCGGCCACAUUGGGACUGAGACACGGCCCAGACUCCUACGGGAGGCAGCAGUGGGGGAUAUUGCACAAUGGAGGAAACUCUGAUGCAGCGACGCCGCGUGAGUGAAGAAGUAUUUCGGUAUGUAAAGCUCUAUCAGCAGGGAAGAAAAUGACGGUACCUGACUCAGAAGCCCC
rnacentral:rRNA from 1 species